UACAGAGGGUGCAAGCGUUGCUCGGAAUCAUUGGGCGAAAGGGCAGGUAGGUGGUCUCAUUUGUCUGGGGUGAAAGCCCAGGGCUUAACCCUGGAAGUGCCCCGGAAACGGUGAGACUGGAGUCUGGAGAGGGUCGUGGAAUUCCCGGUGUAGCGGUGAAAUGCGUAGAGAUCGGGAGGAACACCAGAGGCGAAGGCGGCGACCUGGACAAGUACUGACACUCAACUGCGAAAGCGUGGGGAGCAAACAGG
rnacentral:rRNA from 1 species